UGCUGCCGCUGCGCCGCCGCCGCCUCCUCCUCAGCGAGCGGCCGCGGCGGGAACGGAGGAGCCGCCGGGAAGUAGGAGCCGCCGCCCGGCGGGAAGCGCGGCGCCGCGUCGCCCUCAGGCCCGGCCGGCGGCAGCGGCGAGUGAGGUGCACGUGUGGUGGGAAGAAGCGAUUUCCAUUGAUGUUUUAGAUCACUUUAAUACUGUUUAUAAGCAAGAAUAAUGAAGAGUCACCAAAUAAAAAUUCAAACCUUAUCCAUGCUGAAGAGCGCCUGGUAUUGAGGAACCACAGCAUUUCGUGGCUCAGUGAGAAUCCGUACGAGGGUUUUCUCAUCGAGGCUGUGCAGGGGAACCACAACAGGCAAACGUCCCACGAACUCCGGGAUCAUGCCAAACUCAAUGAGAUCUCUGGCUUCCACGUGACGCAGCAAACGAUCCUUUUCUUCGAUAUCUUCAUGUGGAUUAGACUCUCCACUUAUAUUAGCGAGAUCAGCUGCUGCUGCAGCCCUUCUGCCUUUUCCCAUAUUAGCAGGGGUCCCAAAUCCCAGAUACUGCAAAACAAAUACGCUUACAGAACUAUCAUAGUUAGGUUUUCUUUAUGUAACUAAAUCAUGUUCCAUAUGCAUUAAAACAUCUGGAGUAACUGAUGAUGUCAUUACAUGUUAAUUCAAGCUCAAUAAAUUACUCGUAAUAAAGGCAGUCCCCUUGCACACAA